AUUCAUGGGCAGAAAAGAGUGGCUGGGAGAAGAGAUUUCCUGGGGCUGUGGGAAUCCCACACGCAGGGGUAGGAGAGGGCAUAGGAGGAGGCCAGGAGGGCAAGUGUCUCCUUGCAUAGGGCCUGUCUCCUCAGCCCUCACGCGCUACCCUCUCCACACCUAACUGUUGUCUCUGGGCAUGGAAUUAGCAAAUGCCUGUCUUUCUUGUCACUACCAACACCCCCAUUUCAAAUCCUCAGUGCUUUCCCAAGCUGGGAAUCUUCCCUGGGAGUAUGAAGUGAAUCCUAUUGUUCCCUCACCUCUAAAGCACGAGAGGCUGUCUGAGGAAAGAACCCCUCUCUGUGAUGCAUGGGGAACCGUGGACGUCUCCCUCGGACCCAUUUUGAAUGUCAUCUUCGAUUGGGCUUCUCUCUGGUCCACCCCUAACUGCCUGUCUCAAUGCUGUGGUUUCAAGUCCUUAAUCCUAGAGAAGGAGUGGCUCUUCCCUGGUUGUCCAGGGAGUAUUACUGAGGUCCCCACUGAGAGUCUCAAUCUCCUGCAAGGAAAUAUGACAGAAGGUGAAAGAAAGACACAGAAAUAAGACUUAAACAGAAAGCAAGGAUCUGGUAUCAUCUGAGCUGAUCUGGGCAGCAAAGACAAAAGGCACACAAAACCUCCUGUGUUUACUGAUUACAAGCACGGGAAUAGGGCAGGGUAUAUGUGAGACACUUGCCAAGACUAGUCAUCACAAGCAAGCUCAUAACAGAGGGGCAGGCCUGCAGGAGAAACAAAGGGAGACCAGGACUCGGUUGCAGUUAACCGGUAACUGAUCAGGUCAGUGGGGGAGGCCGCAAUGCAGGGAAAGGAAUUUAGUUGGAGCCACACUGUUCUCAGCCAUGAUGUUAUCUCAAUCAGGGUCCUGCAGCUUCACAGACCAGGACAGAGUCUCCUCUACAGCCUGCCAGUAAACUGGACAGGAGCAGCUGGAGAGACCCCACAGGGUCACCACUGCAGGAAUGCCAUCUCAAGGAGAAUAGAUAUUCCAGGAUCCAGAGGGUGCAGGAGCAGCACAAAGACUUGUCAGAGGGAUGACCUGAGGUAAGUCAGAUGACCUGACUUAUUAAUAAUGGAGAUAAGUAUGAAGCCUUCUGGGUU
rnacentral:lncRNA from 1 species